rnacentral:rRNA from 1 species
UACAGAGGCCUCGAGCGUUAGGCGGAAUCACUGGGCUUAAAGCGUGUGUAGGCGGAUUGCUAAGUACCUUGUGAAAUCCCACGGCUUAACCGUGGAACUGCUUGGUAUACUGGCUGUCUUGAGCCACUUAGGGGCGACCGGAACAAACGGUGGAGCGGUGAAAUGCGUAGAUAUCGUUUGGAACGCCAAAGGUGAAAACAGGUCGCUGGGAGUGUGCUGACGCUGAGACACGAAAGCCAGGGGAGCAAACAGG